UUUUAACCAAAAUUAAAUCAAACAUAACAUUCAGUUCCUCCUGUGCACUAGCCGCAUUUCAAGUGCGACAUAGGCACACGCACCUAGGGGCUACUGUAGCGGACAGAGCAGAAACAGAACACUGCCCCUGGAGCAGAAAGGGCCAUUAGACCGUGUGGCUAGAGAGGCCCUCUGGCCAAAGCAGGAGAGGGCACUUCCAUAUGGACAAACCACAGUGGAAGGGGUUCCUCCUGGGGAGGGGGCAUGCUGGCCUCUGAGAAUGGUCAGGCUCCGAACAAUACUGCCCAGGGUACAGAGUAGUGCUCUGGAGUUUCUAAGUCCCCGGGGCUCUCUCCUGGAUCCACUUCUCUGGAGAGGGCCGGAUGAAGGAGCGGGUGUAUGUUACCCGCUUGAAUUACACAGGAAAAGGACCUACAUGUCCAUGUAAUGUCUUGUUCUCUCCUUUAAAGAGCAACCUGUUCUUGAAACGCCUCUGACAAGAGGACACAGAGGUUAAAUAACUUCAGCUAGGGUCAUGGAAGGGAGAGAGAAUAGGUCUAGGAGUUAAUGAAAGAGUCGUGUGUGGGAGAGAAGUUCAUUCCGUGAGAGGUACCUCCCGUCUAAAGAAAACCUGGCAGUAAGAUGUGACAAAUGGAAUUACAGGCAGCUCAAGAAUUACUCGGCCCAGUUCUUCAUGGCCCAGGGUCCGUGGAGGAUUGCAGGUCCUACACUAAGGUUCUUGGGAUUAGUAGGAGGCUAAUAAUAAUAAUGAUAAUAAAAAAUAAAAAUCUUAAAAGUUCAGGUUUUCUUCAGUGCGCAGGGCUUCCCAGUCCCUAGAGGCAAACUAAACCAGCGUCGCCGAGCCAGUCGCUGCCCAGAGGAUAGGACGAACACCCACCACAUCUGAGUCUACGCUCUGACCAGGAUACCUGAUUUUGCCAGCUCUCAGUCCACGAAAGAGGAAUGUUAUAAAACUGCCUCAUCCUCCAUUCCCUGGGCUCACUUUCGGGCAAAGGGAACAGCAGAUCCAUCUGAAAGCUGGGAACAUGCCCAUCAGGGCAAUGCCGAUGGCAGCUGCCAACCACAGAACGGGAAGAACUCUAUUUCGCCUCCAAACAUUCUGACUCUAUCUGGGCAAGGUGCUGACGAGCUUUCGUGCACUGCCAGGCAGACUCGCUCACGGGCUGGGCACAAGGAACCAUGCCCUCUCAUGCUGUCGCACACUUACCACCCAGACGUUGGAGC